GAUGAACGCGGCGGCGUGCCUAACACAUGCAAGUCGAACGAAGGUAUAUAUAGGAAGUCUUCGGAUGGAAUAUGUAUAACUUAGUGGCGGACGGGUGAGUAACGCGUAAGUAAUCAACCUGUGACACACGGAUAACUGAUAGAAAUGUCAGCUAAUACGAGAUGGACUGUUUAAAUUGGGAAAUGGAAACAGCAAAGCGAAAGCGGUCACAGACGAGCUUGCGUCUGAUUAGCUAGUUGGUGGGGUAAGAGCCUACCAAGGCGACGAUCAGUAGCCGGCCUGAGAGGGUGAACGGCCACAUUGGAACUGAGACACGGUCCAAACUCCUACGGGAGGCAGCAGUGGGGGAUAUUGCACAAUGGGGGGAACCCUGAUGCAGCAACGCCGCGUGAGUGAAGAAGGCCCUAGGGUCGUAAAGCUCUGUCGUAUGGGAAGAAACAAAUGACUUACCAUACAAGAAGCCCCGG
rnacentral:rRNA from 1 species